GUAUAUGAGUGGCCGGAUGUGGGAUCUGGAGAAUAUGAUGUUGGAGUAGUGGCUUCGUUUGGCCGACUUUUGAAUGAGGCUCUUAUUCUUAAAUUUCCCUAGUUUGAUGUAGGCCCAAUUCUCAAACAAGAAACUGUUCCUGUGCCACCCAAGAGCACUGCAAAGGAAUUGGAAGCAGUGUUGUCAAGACUGGGUGCCAACAUG
rnacentral:lncRNA from 1 species